rnacentral:rRNA from 1 species
UACGGAGGGAGCUAGCGUUGUUCGGAAUUACUGGGCGUAAAGCGCGCGUAGGCGGCUUUGUAAGUUAGAGGUGAAAGCCCGGGGCUCAACCCCGGAACUGCCUUUAAGACUGCAUCGCUUGAAUCCGGGAGAGGUGAGUGGAAUUCCGAGUGUAGAGGUGAAAUUCGUAGAUAUUCGGAAGAACACCAGUGGCGAAGGCGGCUCACUGGACCGGCAUUGACGCUGAGGUGCGAAAGCGUAGGGAGCAAACAGG